GUACAACACAAAAUCUAAAAGACAUUAGUACUAAAACAACAGUGCCUAAGUAAUUUUAGCCGCCUCUUGCAGCUUGAGUGCUUCCUUGAGAUUUGUGAUUAUAUCAUUCAUUGAUGGACGUUUGUUACCCUCAUCGUGCAGGCAGUUGAUUGCAGUAUCUAGAAACAACUCAAAGCAGUCAGGUGAUAUUCUUCCAACCAAGCAUGGGUGAAUCGAAUGGGAAGUCACAGUCAAAAAACAUGUUUUAAUCCAUUGGGCUAGACUGACCUGUCCCUGAUUUAGCCAAUGCUCCAAUGCUUCAUUGGUGCAUAG
rnacentral:misc_RNA from 1 species